GUGUCAGCAGCCGCGGUAAUACGUAGGUGACAAGCGUUAUCCGGAAUUACUGGGCGUAAAGCGCACGCAGGCGGCGCGUUAAGUCUGAUGUGAAAUCUCCUGGCUUAACUGGGAGGGGUCAUUGGAAACUGGCGGGCUUGAGGCGAUGAGAGGGGUGUAGAAUUCCCGGUGUAGUGGUGGAAUGCGUAGAUAUCGGGAGGAAUACCAGUGGCGAAAGCGGCACCCUGGCAUUAGCCUGACGCUCAUGUGCGAAGGCGUGGGGAGCGAACGGGAUUAGAUACCCCCGUAGUCC
rnacentral:rRNA from 1 species